UGUGUGAAUAUGGAUGUUUGUUGCCCUCUAGUGGCCAAGUUAAAUAUAACCACAUACUGUAAAUACCGCUUAAAAGCACAGGUGGCAAAUAUCACCAAUGUUUUGUCAUGCCUUCUUUUAUCUGUAGCAUGCAAAGAGGACACCUAUUCUGUUAUGUUGAAAGCUGUAACCUGUGACAUUGUGAAAUUAACUGUAACACUAAAUGAUGGGAUGCUGAUUUUUUUUUUCUUCUGAACACUAAGUGGGGGGAAAAGGCAUAAUCAGUUAUUCUUGGACUGUGUGGGCCAAUAAGAUUUAUAUCUAUAUCUGAUUUCUAUCAAUCAAAAGUAUAAUUCUGGUUAAGAAGCUGCUCUGGGGAACUAUUCCUAUUAUUCCCUGUAUUUUCCCUUAGUUUUAAUAAUUAUUAUGAUGGAAAUUUGUAAAAUCUUACAUUAUAACUAUGGCUAUAAAAUAACUUUCAAAAUUUCCAUAUGUUGCCAUUGUGGGUUAUAGUUUGUGGAAGAAAAAGCUGAGUGCGUAUGAUGUCAGAUUUCUUCAAUUAUGUGUUCAUGUGAAAAACGUUGUCAAGAUUAGUUAAAAGAAAAAACAGGUAUUUUUACUUCGGGUAGCAUUAAAAACACUAAUACUAACUGCCUUUAAAAGCCACCUUAUUUCCAGAAUUUUAGUUGCAUCUUUUUUUGCAGGCUUGUUUUGGUUAAACUCUCAGCUCAGCCCCCUUAAGCCAACAAAACAUUUUAAAACAAAGUCAGGAACCCCGGUAUCUUUUAAGCUAAAAACCCCCUGUAGUGAGUAUUUUGGAUGCAUUAGGGGACCUUUGUAAUGCUUAGUGGUUGAUUUAAAAGGUCAGUUAUCUGCAUAUUCAUUAGCAGGACAGCCAAACAAAAGAAUGGGAUGAAGGAAUUUAAAGAAUUAGCUACUUUAUAUACACUGAUGUAAAUAAACUGGGAAAUGAAAGGAGAAAGAGUGGCACAGAACUCAGUUGAACACACUGAAAAAAAAAGUAACAAAAUUAAAGUCGCUUCCUAAAUAACGUUCUCUCAACUUCCUGACUUUUUCCUUUCUUAAGCUUCUCACACACCGUCACUGUCAUGCCGCCUCCCCUCCUCCCUUACCUCCCUCCCUCCUGAGUCCCUCCAUCCCUUUUAAAGCGUAACCAUAUUUGACUGCAGCUCCUGCAGCAGCACACCUCCACAAACUCCACUCUCUCUCCUGUCAAAAUGCCAGACUUUGCCGACGCUGUGCCAGCACCAUGCCAGGUAAUCAAAGAGGACAUUGACAAAUGUAUCAGAGACAAGGGGAUGGAGACCUGUAAAGAUCUGAUGGAUGCCUUCCAGGCCUGUGUAAAAACUCUGUCUGAGGGGUCAUGAUGCACAGUGAGAUCCACUUAAAUUUAAAAAAAAAAGUAACUUUACCUUAGGUUCUGCACUUUCCCAUCUUCUUAUUGCAAUGGAAGGAACCAUCUGAAAACUGAAGAGGGGGGUGUUGCUUAUGAAUUUACCUCCAUACUUCUACUUAUUCUGUUAUAAUUGUUGUAAUUGUUAUACUCUAAUACUAAUUAGCUUACUGUGAAUAACAAGUUUGUAUUAUACCUUACAAUAAACUUUUUUCAACACACGGUAUAUUGUCUUUCUUUAUGGCAGCACAUUUUCUGUGUUCUUACAUUAUUAUAUGUUGGAGCCU